GACGAACGCUGGCGGCGUGCUUAACACAUGCAAGUCGAACGGAAAGGCCUUUUCGGAGGUACUCGAGUGGCGAACGGGUGAGUAACACGUGGGUGAUCUGCCCUGCAUUCUGGGAUAAGCCUGGGAAACUGGGUCUAAUACCGGACAGGACCGCACUUUAGUGUGUGUGGUGGAAAGUUUUUUCGGUGUAGGAUGAGCCUGCGGCCUAUCAGCUUGUUGGUGGGGUAAUGGCCUACCAAGGCGGCGACGGGUAGCCGGACUGAGGGGUUGGUCGGCCACAUUGGGACUGAGGUGCGGCCCAGGCGCCUACGGGAGGCAGCAGUGGGGAAUAUUGCACAAUGGGCGCAAGCCUGAUGCAGCGACGCCUCGUGGGGGAUGACGGCCUUCGGGUUGUAAACUCCUUUCGCCAGGGACGAAGCGUUUUGUGACGGUACCUGGAGAAGAAGCACCGGCUAACUACGUG
rnacentral:rRNA from 1 species